UGCUUCAUAGCUUAGUUGAUUAGAGCAUCGCACCGUUGUUGCGGGGUCACACGUUCAAACCCUGUUAAAGUCC
rnacentral:tRNA from 1 species